rnacentral:rRNA from 1 species
GUAGGUGGCGAGCGUUAUCCGGAUUUAUUGGGCGUAAAGCGUGCGCAGGCGGUUUGUUAAGUCUGAAAUCAAAGUCCGAAGCUUAACUUCGGUUCGUUUCAGAAACUGGCAGGCUUGAGUAUGGUAGAGGCAAACGGAAUUUCUAGUGUAGCGGUAAAAUGCGUAGAUAUUAGAAGGAACACCAGUGGCGAAGGCGGUUUGCUGGGCCAUUACUGACGCUCAUGCACGAAAGCGUGGGGAGCAAA